AGGGUUCGAUCAUGGCUCAGAACGUACGCUGGCGGCACGCCUAACACAUGCAAGUCGAACGAAGUAGCAAUACUUAGUGGCAGACGGGUGAGUAACAUGUAGGUAUCUGCCCUUUGGCCUGGAAUAACACGAGGAAACUUGUGCUAAUACCGGAUAAGUCUUUACGGAGAAAGCUUUAUGCACCAUUGGAUGAGCCUGCACUUGAUUAGUUUGUUGGUAGGGUAAUGGCCUACCAAGACUGUGAUCAAUAGCUGAUUUGAGAGGAUGAUCAGCCACAUUGGGACUGAGACACGGCCCAAACUCCUACGGGAGGCAGCAGUGGGGAAUCUUGCACAAUGGAGGAAACUCUGAUGCAGCGAUGCCGCGUGAGUGAAGAAGGCCCUUGGGUUGUAAAGCUCUUUCGUCGGGGAAGAAAAUGACUGUACCCGAAUAAGAAGGUCCGGCUAACUUCGUGCCAGCCGCCGCGGUAAUAC
rnacentral:rRNA from 1 species